ACCCUAUUCUUUCUUGGGGUACAGGAGCCCAUGAGGAAAACUCCCUGGACGUGGAAAACUGUAUGAGCUUCCAGGGUAAAUGCAUAAACAGUAAUCUGAAAACUAACCGGCAUUUAUAAUAAACAACGCGCUAGAAACCCGUGCUGGGAGCACUGGAGAUGGAGGCUUCGGAAACUGCCAACCUUCAGUUUGGAUCUGAAGCUUCAUGCACAGGCUGUCUGGUCCACGGGCAGGCUCCCCAUCAGAAGGCCAAGAUGACUGCCAAGCGUCCUGCUGAUUGGUUACUCAGAUGAAGUCUCCCAUUAAUGCUGAUCUUCAACCCCCAUUUGAUUCUCCUAUGCUUCGUUAGCCUCCUGCCCAUUCCUAAAUCAACCAGGAGUAUGGGGAGGCUCCAAGUGACAUCUGGGAUCUCCAUCUUCUUUGGGAAGCUCUUUAAGUUAGACAAGUGCUGUGAGCGGCAAAAGGAAGAAAGCCAAUUAUGGCUUGGUGGAGUCUUGUCUCAGGCAUGUUGGAGGAAUGUGCAAGGUUCACAGCUCUCUGCUGUUGUCAUUUUGAUGCUACGUUCACAGGCAACCACUAGAUCAGCAUGCAGAAAUAUUUCAGCACAAAAGGCAUUUUUCCAACACUACUAUGGGGUGUGAGGGGCACCUGACUGAUUAAAGAAGGGCUGUUGGGGCGGGGCUGUUAACCUAAGUGAUCACUGUCAAGUUUGCCAGAGGUGGCAGACCACUCCCUUCCCAGACACCCAGGACAUUCCUUCAAAAGUCAGGUAGCUAAGCAGACACUUGGCUCCCUUGUUUACCAGAACAGUGGAUGCUAGGGCAAAUGUGGGAUGCGAGGGAGGUCACUGGUGCACCCCCAGAGCUCCAUGGCUAUGAAGCUAGGUAAACAGCCUUGUCUCAGGCAGCAGUGACAGCAGGCCAAGAACAGAUGGUCGCACCAUCUUUAGUCCACUACCAUGCCUCAACAAUGCAUGCUUCCGGAAGUUCUAUGACUGAGAAACAGCUUUUGGUGUGAUUGCUACUGUCUUCAGGAGGAAGAAGCAGUUGAGAAGGAUUUCCCUCAAGGAUCUAGGCACGGUACACACAUGUCUGGUGGAGUUGUGGGUAAGGGGCUGUAACUCCCAAGCAGUGAACAUGGCUCUGACCCACCAGUGCCUGGUUCUCAUUUCCUCUCAGCUUCAUAAUGAAAAAAAAAAAAAAGCACCCACAAGACUUUGCAGAAUGGCUUUGGAAAUACUACAAACCGGCUCUAAUCCCAGAGACUAUGACUGGGUCGCCCACUGAGUGGAGGCCAGCCGCACACAUUUAUUUUGAAAAAGUGUUGAGCAAGUCCACCUUACUUGCUUGGGGGCAGGGAUCUGAGAGCAGCAAACUUCUCGUUUCAUGGCACAGCAUGGUUCAGUUACGGAACUGCAUUUCAGAGAGUGAGCCCAACCAUCUCAAUGCUCCAAAAUUCAAACCACAGUGAACCCAUCCCAGGGCCUCACAAGAGAAACUCAAAGCUCCUGGGAAAUCUCUGGGACCUGGUCAAUGGACUUCCAUUCUGACAUCAACUCAUUCCUCACCAUCUACCCCAGCUUCCCUCAUUCACAGGGAGCUGAGGGGUCCAGAAAGGGCACAUUUCACUUUAAUCUUCGAGUUCCUUCCCACUUGGCUCAUAUUAAUCUCUCCAGUUCUUUUACCUGAGGAGGAGGAAGGAGGCCUAGCUGAACAAAAGGAAACAGAGCAACCAUCUGUCAGAGGCCACACAUGGCCUCAGGGACACUGGAAGGAGGUCAGCCUAAGAGAGUAGCUUCAAACCAGGGCCAACUCAGGAGAGAAGGAAUGUGUCUGAGCAGUCAGGCUGGGCCCUGACUUCAAGAAUACUACAGUUAUUAUGGGGCAGGUGACAAUUUAAACCAUCAGAUGUUUUAAAAGUAUCAUGCUGGGCUCUUUCAAUUUGGCAGGAGCCCCGCUACUUGAGUGUGCAUGCCCUGCGGGCCCCAUUGCCCAACCUUUUCUCAAGCUCACAGGGACUGGGCCUGGAAUCCGAGUCUACUUCCUCCCUUCCUUUAGUCUCCAACCCUCCUCCCGCCCUCAUACCUGGCUGGUGUAGGUCACUUCAGCAACCGUCCUGUCCUGUCCUUGUCUCUCAAGUACUAAGACCACAGCAGGGGCCUCACACCCAGCAAUGGGCAGUUUGCAAUUCUGCCUGCAAGUUCAAGUCUUCCUUGUUCCUGGCUGGGUUCUUGGUUGGCAACAGUACAAUCCCAAGUUGGAAAACUCAAUACUGAAUCCUAACAGUGAACUCUUAACAUUAUAGCCACUCUAGAAACUUUAACAGUGCAGUCUGCAUCCCUGUUGGGGACUGUUUUUGAGUUUGUGGCUGCUGGGAAUCUGGAGGGGGAAGGGAAGUAAGUGCAGGAACAUGUGUACAGGAAGAGAGUGAAGUUCACCACUGACCGAGAACCAUAGCAGCUGACUUUCUUGUUUUGUUCUUAGAGCUGAUAGACUCAUUUACAAACUAAUUUGGUCAUAUAUAGAUAUAUAUGAAAAUGUAUCACCUUAGGAGAAUCCUGGGGUACCAAGAAAUACACCUGAGAAGAACAAACACACAAACAGAAACAAACAUAUCAACCCUUUCCCCACCUUUUUAAAUCCUGAGUGUCACGUUACUAUUGGGUGGGAGUUCUUUGAAAAUCCGUUGCCUGAAGAUGCUUUUUUGAACUCCACAGCCCCAAAUCACAUGUAGGCAAAGACAACUAAAUACAACCAACGUCUCAGGCUCCCCAGUGGGAACCAUGAGGAAACAUUCUUUCACUGGGCCAGAGUGGGCACAUGACCUUGACUCUUUAACCCAGCCUCUCGUGCAGCCUUUUAAACACUUGUUCAGCCAUCAAAAUACUAAAUGCAUGGAGCAACCAGCUUAAAGAAUAUCAAAUAUAAAACUUUACCAUAUAAUAUUUCAAAUCAUUCUAUUUACAAGUUUAUCUUUAAAAAAAAAAGCAGAAGGUACAGUAAUUCAACACAAUUCAAGUUUUUCUUUUCUUCAUUAAAGAACCCUAAGGGAAUUCCAGGAGCCAGAGACACUCCCUGGGUGCAACAUUGCCAUCAGAGGGGCUCCUGGAGAGUGUGACAGUUUGUCAGAGUCCCUCUAGCAAGGGCAUUAGAGUGCGAAGAUGCCAUGAUUGUGUUCUUUUGAGGUCAUGUGAUGCUCAUCCAGGUGCAAGACAGUUACGACCUGCCCUUUUAACCAGAAUUCCCUCUCUUAGAAGGUACUCAGCCUAGCCUCCAGGCCUCCACUUCUGGUGUCCUACGGACUCUUAAUGUUCUAUCCUAGUUAAUGAUUCCCUAUUUUUUUUCUGGGUGGCAGUGAUAUACAUGUCCUUUUAAAAUCAGGCUACAGGUUUGGCCCAAGAAUCACCUCUAAAAUCUACAGGACCUCAGUAACAAAAGACUCUAGGGAGCUGUCUGCCCCAGAUAGUCCACCCUAAUGGCCUAAUCCUCUGCUUCAGAUUGUUGGAAGACCAUUCAAAA